ACGAGCGACCCGGGCUUGCCCGGUUAGCUAGUGGCAGACGGCUGAGUAACACGUAAGUAAUUUGCCCCGAAGAGGGGGAUAAUCCAGAGAAAUCUGGCCUAAUACCCCGUACCUUUCUUUCCGGCCUGCCGGAUUGAAAGAAAGGCUCCGGCGCUUUGGGAGAAGCUUGCGGCUUAUCAGGUAGUUGGUGGGGUAAUGGCCUACCAAGCCGAAGACGAGUAACCGGUGUGAGAGCACGAUCGGUCAGAGGGGGACUGAGACACGGCCCCCACUCCUACGGGAGGCAGCAGCAGGGAAUCUUGCGCAAUGGGCGAAAGCCUGACGCAGCGACACCGCGUGGAGGAUGAAGGUUUUAGGAUUGUAAACUCCUUUUAUCAGGGAAGAGAAAGGACGGUACCUGAUGAAUAAGGUUCGGCUAACUACGUGCCAGCAGCCGCGGUAAUACGUAGGAACCGAGCGUUGUCCGGAUUUACUGGGCGUAAAGAGCGCGUAGGUGGUUUGUUAAGUCUCAUGUGUAAUCUCCCGGCUCAACUGGGAGGGGUCAUGGGAUACUGGCAGGCUUGAGGGUAGCAGAGGAAAGCGGAAUUCCCGGAGUAGUGGUGAAAUGCGUAGAUACCGGGAGGAACACCAGAGGCGAANGCGGCUUUCUGGGCUAUUCCUGACACUGAGGCGCGAAAGCGUGGGGAGCGAACCGGAUUAGAUACCCGGGUAGUCCACGCCGUAAACGAUGGAUACUAGACAUUGGGGGUAUAGACCCCUCCAGUGUCGAAGCUAACGCGAUAAGU
rnacentral:rRNA from 1 species